UUUGAUAAUUUUUUUAGCCCUUCUUUUGACAACCGUCUGCCAUUCACUUUGGGACUCAUCUGAUGAAUCUUCCCAAACAUCUAGGCUAGGUGCGGUCAUAAGAUCAUACAAGGUAGGAACAUUAGGCAAGGAAACAUGAGGAAUAAGUUCACCCUCAAUCAUGUUAGAUGUUGCAGUUUGCUGCUUUGAAGAUGAAUCCACCUCUAUCUCAUGAUUGUUGAUUUUUUCUUGAAUUAUGUUUUUAAGCACAUAGCAAUCUCUUAAUGGAUGACUCACGAUCCGGUGGUACCUGCAAUAUUUAGAAUCAUUAGUCUUAUGAACUUCUGCAGGGCGCUUUGGUUCUGGAAGUUUGAUUGCUUUUGCGGCGAGGAGCUCAUCCAAGAUAGUUUCAACAUCCUCAUCAUCAAAUGUAUACUUGACCUCUUUCCUUUCUUUAAGAGUGAGUCUCCUCGUUUCUUCUUUCCCUUUUCGUCUGUCAUUUUUCUUGUAUGUUUUGAUGAAAUAGCCAUUGACUCCCCUUUCUUGAAUGUUUUCUUGCCUUCAC
rnacentral:lncRNA from 1 species